rnacentral:rRNA from 1 species
AGAACGAACGCUGGCGGCACGCCUAACACAUGCAAGUCGAGCGCCCAGCAAUGGGAGCGGCGGACGGGUGAGUAACACGUGGGAAUAUGCCUUUCGGUACGGAACAACUCAGGGAAACUUGAGCUAAUGCCGUAUACGCCCUUACGGGGAAAGAUUUAUCGCCGAAAGAUUAGCCCGCGUCUGAUUAGCUAGUUGGUGAGGUAAUGGCUCACCAAGGCUUCGAUCAGUAGCUGGUUUGAGAGAACGACCAGCCACACUGGGACUGAGACACGGCCCAGACUCCUACGGGAGGCAGCAGUGGGAAUCUGGACAAUGGGGAAACCCUGAUCCAGCGAUGCCGCGUGAGUGAUGAAGGCCUUGGGUUGUAAAACUCUUUCGGACGGGACGAUAAUGACGGUACCCGUAGAAGAAGCGUCCGGCUAACUUCGCGCCAGCAGCCGC